GUAGGGAAUCUUCCACAAUGGACGCAAGUCUGAUGGAGCAACGCCGCGUGAGUGAAGAAGGGUUUCGGCUCGUAAAGCUCUGUUGUUGGUGAAGAAGGACAGGGGUAGUAACUGACCUUUGUUUGACGGUAAUCAAUUAGAAAGUCACGGCUAACUACGUGCCAGCAGCCGCGGUAAUACGUAGGUGGCAAGCGUUGUCCGGAUUUAUUGGGCGUAAAGCGAGUGCAGGCGGCUCGAUAAGUCUGAUGUGAAAGCCUUCGGCUCAACCGGAGAAUUGCAUCAGAAACUGUCGAGCUUGAGUACAGAAGAGGAGAGUGGAACUCCAUGUGUAGCGGUGAAAUGCGUAGAUAUAUGGAAGAACACCGGUGGCGAAGGCGGCUCUCUGGUCUGUUACUGACGCUGAGGCUCGAAAGCAUGGGUAGCGAACAGGAUUAGAAACCCUGGUAGUCC
rnacentral:rRNA from 1 species